rnacentral:lncRNA from 1 species
UGCAAUACUGAAGAGACAUACUUUUAUUUCAUACUUGCAGGAGUGUGGUAGCAUCAGUAUUUAGUGCAUGAGGUCACAGAAAACUUAUAAAAAGCAAUUCCGAACAAACCAAAAUUCAUAACUUCUCAAGGCUCCCCGUUAACGCAUCCAAUACUGGAGAGAAAAAACCCAGCAGUACAAACAAAACACCAAAUACGUAUCAGGAACCUAAUACUGGCCAAUGUAAUUUUUUAAAAAGUUAUUUAUUCAGUUUAGAUUAUUUCAGUAAUAAAUAAGCAUCUUUUUUAAAAAAAAUUAAACAUAACACAAUAUUGACAUCAUCAGGUAAUGUGAACAUCCCCCAAGUUCCCUAAUCCUCAGGACUAAAAGUAAUUAUAUUUGCAUUACUUGUGCACAUUCCUUGACUACAGAAAUAAAAGAAGCUCAGUGACAUCACAGAUUAUGGGUCAUGCUGAUUAUGUGAAGAUGAUCUGUCUUCAGGUCCUUCAGUAUAACUCUGGUAAGCACCUACUCAGCAGAUCUUAAUCCCCAGCACCCUACACACCCCUACAACUCACCCCAGAGACUCAAGGGCCUGGGGAAUUCCUGACACGAGCUGUUCAGCUCCAGGAUGCCAGAGACCCAAUCCUCUUAGCCUGCAAGCACCCUGAGGCUGAGGGAACAUGGAUAGAGGCAAGGGGAGAGGGAAGGGGAUGGAAGGGUAUUUGCAUAACACGGGCUUCUGAGACCCUUCAGUUCAUAGAACAAAGAGAAACAGAAGAACUAUUUCAGGUGACUAUGGGUCAAACCCUGAUUACAUCAGAGCUAAGAGCCUUCCAAAUACCACAUGUCAUGGAAGCACCAUUCCAUCAGAUAGGCUGGAGAAGGAAAACAGGUGCAGGCAAUGGUGAUAAUCUAUAUGGAGAUGGAAGAAUCUGUGGAUAAUCUGCUCUAGCUUAUGCAUUCGAUUUUUAUUAACUUUAUGUUUUCACGCCUGCCUUGUGCCAAAAACAUUUUUGUUCAGCAUUCCAAAAGACUGGAUAAAGAAGGCAAAUCGCAAUGGAAGAGGAGAAGCGAGCACAGCUUUAGACUGAUUCCCAAUCCUCACGGACUCUGGACAUACACAGAUUUAAAUGUGCCCCCUCAUCUCAGAGAAAAGGUAAAUGUGCAGUUUAAAAAAAUAAAAAUUAAAUUAAAAAAUAUGUAAUUUCUUUAAAAUUAAAAACAUACAGAUCUAACUUUCCACACUACAUUGACCAUAUUUGGCCUAAGGAUAAAAAUACAGCUUAAACUGCAUUCAGGGAAAAAAACAAAAGCAAACUGCAUUCAGUAGACUUCAUCUUAAUAACCACAUUGACGUUACUAUUUUGGUUCUAUUAUAUAUGUAGUAGGAUAAAAGAAGUAAGUAACUACAUUAGGUUACUAAGAACCAAAUUUUUCAGUGUAAAAGAGAAACAGGCUGGGUGCAGUGGCUCAUGCCUGUAAUCCCAGCACUUUGGGAGGCUGAGGCGGGUGGAUGGCUUGACCCCAGAAGUUCCAGCCUGGACAACAAAAUGAGAUCCCAUCCCUAUAAAAAAUAAACAAAAGUUAGCUGGGUAUGGUGGCACAUGCCUGUGGUCCCAACUACUUGGGAGGCUGAGGUGGGAGGAUUGCUUGAGCCCAGAAUGGUUCAGGCUGCAGUGAGUAGUGAUGGUGCCACUGCAGUCCAAUCAGAGUGACAGAGCAAGAGUCUGUUUCAAAAAAAAAAAAAAAAAAAGCGAGAGAGAGAGAAACAAACAUAAAAUCAAACAAAAUUAAGAACCCCAUAAUCAGGAGAUACAGGAAAAUCUCUGUACUUUCCACUCAAUUUUGCUAUAAGGCUACAACUAUUCUAAAAAAUAUAGUCCAUUAAAAAACAAUAAAAUCCAUAAUCUCUUAUUUGAAUUGUAAAUACUAGUAUACACUUAUGAUUUUUUUUCUCUCUAAAAAAGUAUUGCAUUUCCUAGCAAUACCCAAAGACACAGUUUGGAAAUGAUAUCAGCGGGUAGCAAUCUAACCCAUAUAGCGCCUAAAUUGUGAUCUGCAAACAUUUCCCACUAAAAGUAACCAAAGCUGCUUCUUCAAGAAAUUAGUUAAUCCAAGUCUGUGGCAUAAGAUGUACAAAACAGGGCUAGAUUAAAAAAAAAAACAAAACUAUUAGGGUCUCAUCAAAAUGACAAGAUGACAGGGCUCCAACCAGCUCAAGUGCAGUGGUUCACACCUGUAAUGCCAGCAUUUUGGGAGGCUGAUUACAGGUUCACACCUGUAAUCCCAGCAUUUUGGGAGGCUGAGGACUGCUUGAGGCCAGGAGUUUGAGACCAGCCUGGGCAACAAAGAGAGACUCUGUCUCUACCAAAAAAAAAAAAAAAGAGCCAGGAGUGGUGGUGGUGGUGCAUGCCUGUAGUCCUAGCUAUCUGGAGGCCAAAGUGAGUGUAUCGCUUAAGCCCAGGAAAUUGAGAGUGCAGUGAGUUACAGUCACACCACUGCACUCCAGCCUGAACAACAGAGCAAGACUAAGACUCUAAAAAGUAAAAAAUGAAAAAUGAAAAGGUCCCAACUGGCCAAAGAUGGGCUAUUUUGAGUAUUAAAAGAUGUAACACUUUGAUGAACUAAAAAACAUCAGAUAUAUAAAAUAUCUAAAUAUCUAAAUUCCUAACAAUAUUUCACCCACCCAGAAGAAAAGCUUAUUGGUCAUUCUUGGAGGUUGCUGUGGUAUCAGAUCAUUAUGCUAUAAACUAAGGAAUCAAGUGAAAGAAUCUGGUAUCUGUCUUGCCUUUGUUAUAGGCUUUUUCAGAGUAACCACAUAAUUAAUGAGGAGAGUUCUUUGUAAAGGAUCCAUAGCCAGUAAAUGCAGGAAAAAAAGGGUAGAAUUUUACAAAUCACUAUUCUGCAAUCUUUAGUGAAAUAAUGACAUUAGGCAACAAUCACCAAUGACUGCUGAAACAUUAAAUGGAAAGAUAAUGCGGAAUUUUCUAGUGGAGGGAUCAAGCUGACAACACCUGGACCAACAGGUCAAUCUUAAUAUCAGUGAAGCAAUGAAUUCUUCCUACCCAAAAAGCGAAAAAGUUGAACCUGAAUCCAACCAGCCUCUAGCUCUAACCUUUAGAGAGCUUUAGCUCUAUGAGCUCACAGAAAAUAUGAACAUGUUAAAUGACACCAAAAUCUAAAAUGUAUAAAAUUUUAAGACAUAUGACCCAGAUAACUUGAACAAAUAAAUGAUAAAAAAUAAGGAAAAGGGGAUGUUAUAGACUUAAGGAGACUGAAGAAAUACACCACAGGCAAAAUAUAGACCUAUUUUUAGAUCCUGUUUCAAACAAAAUAACUAUAAAAAGACAAUUCCAUAAGAAGAAAAAAAUAAACCCAAAGCUAGCAAAAGGAAAUAAAAUAUUAGAGUAGAAAUAAACAAAAGAGAAUAGAAAGAUAGUAGGAAAAAAAAACAGUUGGUUUUUGAAAAAAAAAUCAACAAAAUUGAGAAACUUAACUAGAUUUAAAAAAAAGAAGAUAUAAAUAAAUCAGAAAUGAAGAGGGGACAUUAUAACUGAUGACACAGAAAUAAAGAAUUGUAAGAGAAUAGCAUGAACAACUGUAUGCCAACAAAUUGGAUAACCUAGAAGAUAUGGAUAAAUUUCUAGACACACCCAGCCCACCAAGACCGAAUCAUGAAGAAACAGAAAAUCUAUACAGACCAAUAGCUAUUAAAAAGAUUGAAUCAGUCAUCAAAAACCUCAAAGAGGCCGGGUACGGUGGCUCCCGCCUGUAAUCCCAGCACUUUGGGAGGGGGAAGCGGCCAGAUCACUUGAGGUCAAGAGUUUGAGACCAGCCUGGCCAACAUGGUGAAACCCCGUCUCUACUAAAAAUACAAAAAUUAGCCGGGUGUGGUGGCGCGUGCCUGUGGUCCUGGCUACUUGGGAGGCUGAGGAAGGAGAAUCGCUUGAACCUGGGAGGUGGAGGUUGCAGUGACCCAAGAUCAUGCCUCUGCACUCCAGCCCCGGCGACAGAGCAAGACCAUGUCUCAGCAUGCGCGCACACACACACACACACACACACACACACACACACACACACACACACACACUCAAAGAAAAACCUAGAACCAGAUGGCUUCACUGGAGAAUUCUACCAAACAUUUAAAGAAGAAUUAAUACCAAUCCUCCUGAAACUAUUACAAAAGUUGAAGAGGAGGAACAUUUCUAAAUUUAUUCUAUGAGACCAAUAUUAUCCUAAUACCAAAGCCAGACAAAUACACUACAAGAAAACUACAGAACAAUAAUAUUCCUGGUGAAUAUUGAUGCAAAAAUCCUCAACAAAAUACUAGCAAACUGAAUUCAACAGUACAUUAAAAGGGUUAUAUACUAUGAUCAAGUGGGAUUUAUUCCUAAAAUGCAAGAAUGGUUUAACAUAUAAAAAUCAAUCAAUAUAAUACACCAAAUUAACAGAUUGAAGGGCAAAAACCACAUGAUAAUCUAAAUUGAGGCAGAGAAAGCAUGACAAGAUUCAACACCCUUUCAUGAUUAAAAAAACCAACAACUCAACAAAUGCAAAAUAGAAGAAAACUACCUCCACAUCAUAAAGCCCACAUGUGAAGAGCCCAUAGCUAACAUCAUAUUCAAUAGUGAAAGACUGCAAGCUUUUCCUCUAAGAUCAGGAAAAAGGCAAGAUGUCUGUUUUUGCCACUUCUACUCAACAUAGUUUUGGAAGUCCUAGUCAGAGCAACUAGGCAAGAAAGAAAUAAAAGGCAUUCAAAUUAGAAAGGAGAAGUAAAAUGAUCGAUUCACAGAUGAUAUAAUCUUAGAUGUAGGAAACCCUAAAGACUACACACACACACACACACACACACACACACA